AAAGCGAGCGCAGGCGGAAAAAUAAGUCUAAUGUGAAAGCCCUCGGCUUAACCGAGGAAUUGCAUCGGAAACUGUUUUUCUUGAGUGCAGAAGAGGAGAGUGGAACUCCAUGUGUAGCGGUGGAAUGCGUAGAUAUAUGGAAGAACACCAGUGGCGAAGGCGGCUCUCUGGUCUGCAACUGACGCUGAGGCUCGAAAGCAUGGGUAGCGAACAGGAUUAGAUACCCUGGUAGUCCAUGCCGUAAACGAUGAGUGCUAAGUGUUGGGAGGUUUCCGCCUCUCAGUGCUGCAGCUAACGCAUUAAGCACUCCGCCUGGGGAGUACGACCGCAAGGUUGAAACUCAAAGGAAUUGACGGGGGCCCGCACAAGCGGUGGAGCAUGUGGUUUAAUUCGAAGCAACGCGAAGAACCUUACCAGGUCUUGACAUCUAGUGCAAUCUGUAGAGAUACGGAGUUCCCUUCGGGGACGCUAAGACAGGUGGUGCAUGGCUGUCGUCAGCUCGUGUCGUGAGAUGUUGGGUUAAGUCCCGCAACGAGCGCAACCCUUGUUAUUAGUUGCCAGCAUUAAGUUGGGCACUCUAAUGAGACUGCCGGUGACAAACCGGAGGAAGGUGGGGAUGACGUCAAGUCAUCAUGCCCCUUAUGACCUGGGCUACACACGUGCUACAAUGGGCAGUACAACGAGAAGCAAGCCUGCGAAGGCAAGCGAAUCUCUGAAAGCUGUUCUCAGUUCGGACUGCAGUCUGCAACUCGACUGCACGAAGCUGGAAUCGCUAGUAAUCGC
rnacentral:rRNA from 1 species